UACGGGGGGUGCGAGCGUUGUCCGGAAUCACUGGGCGUAAAGGGCGCGUAGGUGGUUUGAUAAGGGUGUGGUGAAAGUCCGGGGCUCAACCCCGGAUCUGCCGUGCCGACUGUCAAACUCGAGGGCUGUAGAGGCAGACGGAAUUCCGGGUGUAGCGGUGGAAUGCGUAGAGAUCCGGAGGAAGACCGGUGGCGAAGGCGGCAUCCUGGACCAACACUGACGCUGAGGAGCGAAAGCCAGGGGAGCAAACGGG
rnacentral:rRNA from 1 species